CUGCCGGCGGGGCUGCGUGAAGGACGAUUUUCUGGUCGCCUCCCCAAGCUUCUGCUGGCGGCGUCCAUGGGGAGCUUCUGCAGGCGACUUCCCCGGCCACCUCCCCGAGAUGCUGCCAGUGACCACCUCCCCGAGCUCCUGCUGCCCACCACGUACUCAACCGGAUGCCGCCGGCCACCCACACGACCUGCUGCCACUCGGUGAGGCCUCUGUCCUCCUCCUACUCCAUUUAUCGUUGCAAUAAAAAAAAGAAGGUUCUUUGUUCCUGCUGAAUUUGUUAGCAGUGGAGAAUGCAUGAGGUUGAUAAUUCAUGAAAUUGCCCAACUGGACCAAACAUGCCGUUGUUCCUGGUAGUUAACUAUCCCGUAGCAUAAAUUCAGAAUCAGGGGACCGUAUAAAAUUUACCUGUAUUGCCAACGUUGAUUGUAAUUAAACUACCAGUAUAAAUUCAGAACCAGGCUGGGAACCUUAUAAAAUUUAAAAUUUUGGAUUGGGAUCAAUACUUAGUUGCAGUACUAUAUUUGUAGAUGAUGAAAUUGGAUGAUCACUAAUGAAGAGAUUGUCUAUAUUUUUAGAAGACACAAAGUAGGGCAAGAUUUGAUGACAAACACCUAUCUAUGAAACGACUUCCAAUUAUAAGCACACGGUUAGGUCCUGAUAAUUGUAUCAUCUCAUGUUUAACUAGACUAGGCCACCAAUCUGAAGGAACAAAUCUUCCUAUAAUUGCUUUAGUCGCUACGGUCAGCUUUCUUAGGUACCAAUUUGCAUUUUUGGCAUUUUUGAUACCGUAGCUUUUAGUUGCUACCGUUAGCUUUGUUAGGGGCAUAUUUGCAUUUCCGGUAUUUAGGUUGUUACUAGCUUUUACAUACUAGCUUGAAGUGUAAAAUUGUUCAAUAUCCGAGGCUGGUUCAGGGGUGAUAGUGACAAGAGUUACACUAGCUCCGGGAUGCUGAUUUGUUUGGUUGUUUGAUUGUUACAAUUAAGUGCAUGUCUAGUAUAUUACUAGCUGAUUAAUCAAGUACUUGUUGUACGAGUUGUUGUCUGUUAAUGCUUAAUUAUUCCUGAACCUAAACACUGUGUAUCUAUGCUAUUUUGUUUGACGUAAUCGACCACUACCUCCAACAUCGCUGGACCAUGUCCAUGAGGAGCUGCUGCUGACGACCACUCCGUCCUGCUGCCUCUGGCCGCCUCCCAAACCUACUGCUGCCUGAACCGUCCUCUACCCCCGGGAUCCAAAUCAAUGGGCGAGUUCGUCGGUGAUUGCCGCUGCCGAUGAUAGGAGCUCGCCACACCGGGGGAAUGGUGGUGAGGAGGCAAGGAGGAAGGGAUGUUCUCGUUGCCCAUGUUGCUACUUCUAGCAGUCCACCCGGAGCUGUUGCUGGCCAUCUUCUGGCGACAACCUCUCUGAGCUCCUGCUGGCCAACAAGCUGCUGACCUAUCUGUGGCCACUGUUUCUGGUGCCUGGUUGCUUCAUACCGAAAUGUGGUGUAUCUGAAUUGGCAGCUUUGGCCACCUGCAUGGCUUCCCUGGCUUCUGAUGUGCCCCUGGAGCCUGCCACUAGUUUGCCAUGCUGACGGCACAUGCAGCAGCGGUAGGAGCCGUCGAGUGAUCCAUUGGGAAUCUGUGCGUCCUCAGAGCAAC